AAACAAUUAGCAUUUCAUGCAUAUCGAUUUCGGCUCGAUGAGAGCGUCCGCCGCGUUGUUUU
rnacentral:tRNA from 1 species